GUGUCACCUUUCGCCUUAAUAACAUUGUAAUGGCUAUGAGCUGCAUGUUGCUUUCUGAGAUUAUCCUAGUUUAGGAACCAUAAGCUAUUGUGAUGCAUGCUGACAUAUUGAACCCUCGCACUAUUGUUUUGAGGAGAUGAAAAAAGCUAUUCUUUUUUUCAUUGUUGUGUAUUUAGGAUACUUGAUAUGUUCAAUACUUGAUUAUGUCCUUCUGGAAUUUUAGUAGUUGUAAUCUGAUAUUAUGAACUUGUGAUUGACUCUCUCAUUUGUUAAGUUUAUAUCCUUUUACAUAGCACAUGGUUAUUUAUCUUCAUAGUUCCGGUGGCAUAAUUGUUCUGGGGAAAAGUGCAAUCCAUGUGGCUGUCUCAAAGUUGUUAAGAUUAAGGUUAUGGUAGUAAAGUGUGUUAAGGUUUGGUUUGUAAUUUAUUGCGUAACUUCCUAGUUUUUGUGUGGAUGGCAAACAUAAUUUAUCACAGAGCAUGAAGGUUAGUUGACAUCAACGAUAUGAGCUAAAUCAUUUUUAUGAGCAAAAGAGUUUUUGAUGAGGUGAGCCAAGCUAUUUUAGCUCCAGUUUAGACUUGGCUUCUAUAGAAGUUUGACCAGAUCAUCUCUGAGAUGGAAUGUAGCUUUCCAUCCCAUUUUGAGAGUUGGGACUGAAUGAUCCUCUAAGUCAGGCACUAUAGGAAUGUUGGUUGGUUGGAUAUAGAUAAAUUCCAUAAUUUUUUAAGGAAUUCAAUCAUAAAUCUGUAGGUAAAAUAUAUGAUAUGCACAAAAAUUCACUUGAAAUUUUACAUUUUUAAUUUGUGGAAUUUAUUCUAGUGGAGCCAAAUUCUAUCAGAUUUGGUACAGUUUGCAAAUAAAUUCUAAAUUAGUAAGACUACCAUACAAGUUUGUAGAAUUUGUAGAUGAAUAGUGCACUUAAUAAGUAACCAAACAUUAAUGAUUGAUUUGCAAAUAAAAUGAACUCCAUAUUUAUUUGUUCCAAAUAAGCAAAUUUUUUAGGCAUGACUUUUGACAUUGUUCAGUGACGUUUGGGAUUUUGCAGUAAUUUUAUUUUGUUUUAUUUUUCAAUUUCUCUCCAUGAUUUUCACGAACGGGCUUUUUUUUUAUGUUGAUUCAAGGGAUUGAGAGCGAUGAAUUCUGUCUUGGAUUCUUGGCUUUCUUUUAUUUAUAGGUUAGAGCUAUUCAUAGCAUAAGAUAAUUGUAAUAUAUAGUAAAAAUAUGAGGUCAUUAUACUAUCACAAUCAGGCUUUCUUUGAGAUUGUCUUUGAGAUGAAAGGCAAAUAUCAAUUUAGUUUUGGAUCUUAUUAUUUUUUUGAAAGCAAUUCUAAACAACCUAGUACUUUAGUUUGAGUUUUGAUUUUAUCUAAAAAUUAUGACUAGAGUGGAUGGAUAUCUAUUUUGUGAUUCCUGGCAUGCUUAAAGUUUUGUCUGUUACUCCUUUUCCAUGCGAUUUUGCUUCACCUGUUUCCCUCUUGAUGUUAGAUAUUGGCUCAAAAUGCUCGUUUUGAACAAAUAUGGAGGAGCCGAAGGGGAAACAAAGAGACUUCACAUGAUAAGGAACUCCAUGACAUGUGCCAUUUUUAUGACGUUGUUCGUGUUGAUGUUGAGGAAAGAUCCAAUGAGAUGCAAGAGCAGGGAGUUUUGUCUUUGGAGGAUCAGAGGAUUCUUAGUACCUACCUACCUCUACUUAGAGAGUUUAUUCCAAGUGCUGCAGCACAGAUUGAAACUGAUGUACGAGAUUACAUCUCCAAGCA
rnacentral:misc_RNA from 1 species